UGGGGAAUAUUGGGCAAUGGGCGAAAGCCUGACCCAGCAACGCCGCGUGAAGUAUGAAGGCCUUCGGGUUGUAAACUUCUUUGAUCAGGGAAGAAACAAAUGACGGUACCUGAAAAACAAGCCACGGCUAACUACGUGCCAGCAGCCGCGGUAAUACGUAGGUGGCGAGCGUUAUCCGGAUUUACUGGGUGUAAAGGGCGUGCAGGCGGGCUGAUAAGUCAGAUGUGAAAUCCCCGAGCUUAACUCGGGAACUGCAUCUGAUACUGUUGGGCUUGAGUGCUGGAGAGGAUAGUGGAAUUCCUAGUGUAGCGGUAAAAUGCGCAGAUAUUAGGAGGAACACCAGUGGCGAAGGCGGCUAUCUGGACAGUAACUGACGCUGAGGCGCGAAAGCGUGGGUAGCAAACAGG
rnacentral:rRNA from 1 species